rnacentral:misc_RNA from 1 species
GAAAUGCGAUAACUAAUGUGAAUUGCAGAAUUCAGUGAAUCAUCGAAUCUUUGAACGCACAUUGCGCCCCUUGGUAUUCCAUGGGGCAUGCCUGUUCGAGCGUCAUUUGUACCCUCAAGCUCUGCUUGGUGUUGGGUGUUUGUCCCCGUCUCCGCGCGUGGACUCGCCCCAAAGUGAUUGGCAGCCGGCGUACUGGUCCCGGAGCGCAGCACAUGUCGCGCAAACGAGUGCCUUGGUACGGCGGCGUCCAUAAGCCCCUCUCUCACGCUCUUGACCUCGGAUCAGGUAGGGAUACCCGCUGAACUUAAGC